rnacentral:rRNA from 1 species
CCUACGGGAGGCAGCAGUCGAGAAUCAUUCACAAUGGGGGAAACCCUGAUGGUGCGACGCCGCGUGGGGGAAUGAAGGUCUUCGGAUUGUAAACCCCUGUCAUGUGGGAGAAAAUUAAAAAGAUAGUACCCCAAGAGGAAGAGACGGCUAACUCUGUGCCAGCAGCCGCGGUAAUACAGAGGUCUCACGCGUUGUUCGGAAUCACUGGGCGUAAAGCGUGCGUAGGCUGUUUCGUCAGUCGCGUGUGAAAGGCGCGGGCUCAACCCGCGGACGGCACAUGAUCCUGCGAGACUAGAGUAAUGGAGGGGGGACCGGAAUUCUCGGUGUAGCAGUGAAAUGCGUAGAUAUCGAGAGGAACACUCGUGGCGAAGGCGGGUUCCUGGACAUUAACUGACGCUGAGGCGCGAAGGCCAGGGGAGCGAAAGGGAUUAGAUACCCUUGUAGUC